rnacentral:rRNA from 1 species
UACGGGGGGGGCAAGCGUUGUUCGGAAUUACUGGGCGUAAAGGGCUCGUAGGCGGCCAACUAAGUCGGAUGUGAAAUCCCCAAGCUUAACUUGGGAACUGCAUCCGAUACUGGAUGGCUUGAAUCCGGGAGAGGGAUGCAGAAUUCCAGGUGUAGCGGUGAAAUGCGUAGAUAUGUGGAGGAAUACCGAUGGCGAAGGCAGCCCCCUGGGAUAACACUGACGCUCAUGCACGAAAGCGUGGGGAGCAACAGG